AGAGUUUGAUCCUGGCUCAGGACGAACGCUGGCGGCGUGCUUAACACAUGCAAGUCGAGCGGUAAGGCCUUUCGGGGUACACGAGCGGCGAACGGGUGAGUAACACGUGGGUAAUCUGCCCUGCACUCUGGGAUAAGCCCGGGAAACUGGGUCUAAUACCGGAUACGACCUCCAGUCGCAUGGUUGGGGGUGGAAAGUUCCGGCGGUGCAGGAUGAGCCCGCGGCCUAUCAGCUUGUUGGUGGGGUGAUGGCCUACCAAGGCGACGACGGGUAGCCGGCCUGAGAGGGCGACCGGCCACACUGGGACUGAGACACGGCCCAGACUCCUACGGGAGGCAGCAGUGGGGAAUAUUGCGCAAUGGGCGAAAGCCUGACGCAGCGACGCCGCGUGAGGGAUGACGGCCUUCGGGUUGUAAACCUCUUUCGCCAGGGACGAAGGGUGACUGACGGUACCUGGAGAAGAAGCACCGGCUAACUACGUGCCAGCAGCCGCGGUAAUAC
rnacentral:rRNA from 1 species